GAUGAACGCUAGCGGGAGGCCUAACACAUGCAAGCCGAGCGGGAUUUCAGAUGUAGCUUGCUACAUUUGAAUGAGAGCGGCGCACGGGUGCGGAACACGUGUGCAACCUGCCUUUAUCUGGGGGAUAGCCUUUCGAAAGGAAGAUUAAUACCCCAUAAUAUAUUUGAUGGCAUCAUUAAAUAUUGAAAACUCAGGUGGAUAAGAUGGGCACGCGCAAGAUUAGAUAGUUGGUAGGGUAACGGCCUACCAAGUCUACGAUCUUUAGGGGCCUGAGAGGGUGAUCCCCC
rnacentral:rRNA from 1 species